rnacentral:rRNA from 1 species
UACGUAGGGUGCAAGCGUUUAAUCGGAAUUACUGGGCGUAAAGGGCGAGUAGGCGGCCUUCUAAGUCAGACGUGAAAUCCCCCGGCUUAACCUGGGAACUGCGUCUGAUACUGGGAGGCUUGAGUAUGGGAGAGGGAUGUAGAAUUCCAGGUGUAGCGGUGAAAUGCGUAGAUAUCUGGAGGAAUACCGGUGGCGAAGGCGGCAUCCUGGACCAUUACUGACGCUGAAUCGCGAAAGCUAGGGGAGCAAACGGG